UAGGGAAUCUUCGGCAAUGGACGAAAGUCUGACCGAGCAACGCCGCGUGAGUGAAGAAGGUUUUCGGAUCGUAAAACUCUGUUGUUAGAGAAGAACAAGGACGUUAGUAACUGAACGUCCCCUGACGGUAUCUAACCAGAAAGCCACGGCUAACUACGUGCCAGUAGCCGCGGUAAUACGUAGGUGGCAAGCGUUGUCCGGAUUUAUUGGGCGUAAAGCGAGCGCAGGCGGUUUCUUAAGUCUGAUGUGAAAGCCCCCGGCUCAACCGGGGAGGGUCAUUGGAAACUGGGAGACUUGAGUGCAGAAGAGGAGAGUGGAAUUCCAGGUGGAGCGGUGAAAUGCGUAGAUAUAUGGAGGAACACCAGUGGCGAAGGCGGCUCUCUGGUCUGUAACUGACGCUGAGGCUCGAAAGGGUGGGGAGCAAACAGG
rnacentral:rRNA from 1 species